rnacentral:rRNA from 1 species
AUACGGAGGGUCCAAGCGUUAUCCGGAAUCAUUGGGUUUAAAGGGUCCGCAGGCGGUCAAUUAAGUCAGAGGUGAAGGCCCAUCGCUCAACGAUGGAACUGCCUUUGAUACUGGUUGACUUGAGUUAUACGGAAGUAGAUAGAAUAAGUAGUGUAGCGGUGAAAUGCAUAGAUAUUACUUAGAAUACCGAUUGCGAAGGCAGUCUACUACGUAUAUACUGACGCUGAGGGACGAAAGCGUGGGGAGCGAACAGGAUUAGAUACCCGAGUAGUCC